rnacentral:rRNA from 1 species
UACGUAGGUGACAAGCGUUGUCCGGAUUUACUGGGCGUAAAGAGCGCGCAGGCGGUCGAUCAAGUCGAGUGUGAAAGCCCCCGGCUCAACUGGGGAGGGUCAUUCGAUACUGAUCGACUCGAAGGCAGGAGAGGGUAGUGGAAUUCCCGGUGUAGUGGUGAAAUGCGCAGAUAUCAGGAGGAACACCCGUGGCGAAAGCGGCUCUCUGGGACGGUACUGACGCUGAGACGCGAAAGCGUGGGGAGCAAACAGG